rnacentral:rRNA from 1 species
UAAGGAAUAUUGGGCAAUGGACGCAAGUCUGACCCAGCCAUGCCGCGUGGAGGAUGAAGGUCCUCUGGAUUGUAAACUUCUUUUAUUUGGGAAGAAAUCCAAGAAUUCUUUCUUGGUUGACGGUACCAGAUGAAUAAGCACCGGCUAACUCCGUGCCAGCAGCCGCGGUAAUACGGAGGGUGCAAGCGUUAUCCGGAUUCACUGGGUUUAAAGGGUGCGUAGGCGGGUUGGUAAGUCCGUGGUGAAAUCUCCGAGCUUAACUCGGAAACUGCCGUGGAUACUAUCAGUCUUGAAUAUCGUUGAGGUAAGCGGAAUAUGUCAUGUAGCGGUGAAAUGCUUAGAUAUGACAUAGAACACCAAUUGCGAAGGCAGCUUACUGAACGAUCAUUGACGCUGAGGCACGAAAGCGUGGGGAGCAAACAGG